GGGGGGGGUCGGGGGGGGGGUGGGGCGGGCGGGGGGAGCGGGGGGACGAGGCGCUGGGUCCUCUGGGGUUCGCGGCGGACGGGUGAGUGACGCGUGUAUCCCCUACGUAUACGCCUGAGAUCACUGCUGGCCGCCUGACCGCAUACCGGCUCGUAUAUUGAACCGCAUGCUUUAAACGUGAUAGCCGGUUUUGCUGGCGCCUAGCGAUGGCUCCGCGCCGCAGUGGCUAGUUGUUAAGGUCACGGCGUACCAAGGCAACGAUGCGUAGCCGACCUGAGAUGGUGAUCGGCCACACUGGAACUGAGACACGGUCCAGACGCCUACGGGAGGCAGCAGUAGGGAAUCUGCCGCAAUGGGCGAAAGCCUGACGGAGCAACGCCGCGUGAGUGAUGAAGGUCUUCGGAUCGUAAAACUCUGUUAUUAGGGAAGAACAACUGUGUAAGUAACUAUGCACGUCUGGACGGUACCUAAUCAGAAAGCCACGGCUAACUACGUG
rnacentral:rRNA from 1 species